rnacentral:rRNA from 1 species
AGUAAUUAUAAGAAUACUAGAUUUUUGUUCACGAAAAAGGAUGAGCUAAAAAGUUCUAUAUUAUGGUGUGUAAAUUAUAUGUUGCAGAAUAUAAAGUAAAAAACUUUUUAGGGGUGAAAGGCCUAACAAGUUCUUUGAUAUCUUGAUUUAUAAUAAAUAUAUUAAGUAUUAUGUCAAUUUAAAAAUUUUAAGGUUUUUAAAUAUUACUAUUUGUAUUAAAUAUUGAACAAUUGACCUAAUAGUUGUUGUUUACAAAUAAAAUAACAUUAUUUGUUUGUACUAUGUAUAAUGCAUUAUAAUAUAAUUAUCAAUAUAUAAUACUGUAAAUAAUGUUAUUAUUAGUAUAUAAUUAAUUUUAGUUAAGGAACUCGGCAAGCAUCUUACUCAACUGUUUAUCAAAAACAUGCCCUUAGUUAUUUUUAAGGGUUACCUCUGCUCCAUGGAAUACUAAAUAGCCGCAGUACACUGACUGUGCAAAGGUAGCAUAAUCAUUUGUUUCAUAAUUGGAAUCUAGUAUGAACGGGAAUAUGGGUAAGUUCUGUCUCGCUAUAAAUAAUUGAAUUUACUAAAUAAGUGAAAAUGCUUAUUUAUAUAUAAAAGACGAGAAGACCCUAGAAAUUUUAUAUAUAUGUAUUUGCUGCAAUCUAUUUUGUUGGGGCGACAAGGUAAUAAAUAACUUACCUAUAUUAAUUUAAACUAUUUUUAAAUCACAAUUAAAUUACUCUAGGGAUAACAGCAUAAUGUAUAUUAAGUUUGUGACCUCGAUGUUGGACUAGGAUAGCUAUUGUUUAAAAGAUGAUAGUGAAGGCUCUGUUCGAGCUUUUAACUCCUACAUGAUCUGAGUUCAGACCGC